AUGGAAUAUUUGAUGAUCAGAAUAGACUCAAAGGAAAGAUGGAAUGUACAAACAUAAAUUGUCGAAUAAUAGGAGUGAUUGACCGAGUAAAAAAUCUUUUAUUUUCUUGCUCCGUUUCUCUUAUAUUGCGAAAUUCUUUCCUUCGUGAAAAAUUCACGAAAUCGCCUGGAAGUUUCAAUCGACUGUUUCUCAAUUCUUUAAGAAUAGCAUCGACAAAGAAAACAUCUAAAUUUGUUGGAACAAAAACUAUUUAGAAUCAAAAUGAAACGGAAUAUUCGAUUAUCAAAAGUCUCUGAAAAAAAAUAAUCAGAUAUUUUCCUUCACGAAGUUAAUCAACGGGCUAAUGCUCCUUCCUUGAUUCCAACAAGAUAUCCGGGACAGAUGUUUGCCAUCAAUCAAGGUGUAUGUAACGAUUAAUCCAUCACGUAUAUCAUCGCACUGCGAGAAUUGUCGAGAAGAUUAUAAGAGACUUCUACACGCUUGAGACACAACUGCGAAGAUCAAAUUACCCCAUCUUUCACGUAUAUCUCACGUUGUUUCUUAUAAUGGCGAUGAUAAAAUUGGAAAAUUGAACAAUUUCGAAGAAGCUUUAAAAAGUU